rnacentral:lncRNA from 1 species
AUUUGGCACAUUCAAGUUUGAUAAUACCAUUAGUUAUUGAGUAUUGUUGACCAGGCAUCGUGCUCCAUCAUUAAACACAUUAUCUGGUUUAUCUUUACAACAGGCUAAUGAGUUAGGUAUUAUGCCCCUCAUUGCCAAAAUUAGGAAGGAAACUAAGACCCAGAAGGAAUGAUUUUCAAGGCCACACAAUAAAUUGCAGAAUUUGGUUUCCAAGUCAGUCUGAAUUCAAGGUCCAUGUUCCUAACCACAGUGUUUUGCUGCAAACAAACACAGUUCACUGGGAUAAGUGCAGUUAUGGUGGCUUGUACAAAAUGUUCUGUGGUAGUACAGGCAGGGAGUGACAGCUUUAGCCUGCUAAACAGUCAAGACAGGCAUCACAUUCAAGUAACGUUAGAGCUGAGCCUGAAGGAUGGACAGGAUUUUGCAAGUGGAGGUGGGGAGAAGAGUUUUCUGGGCAGAGAGAACUGCGUACAAAGACAGAAGACCCUGAAAGCACAGAGCUUGUAGUUGGGGGCCCCUGAGCAUCUGGAAGAGAGGACAGGAAAUGAGGCAGGAACAGCUGAAGAGCAUCUUCUCCAGAGAUUCUUAGAUUGGCGGUGCUGGACAGCAAGUGACCAGAAGAGAAACAAGUGGUAACCCAACCUGCAUGAAGAAAAUUCAGUAGAACCUUGCUGGUGUAGAGAAGAUGGCACAAAGAAGAGUGAGAACACUUUUAUGAAAGGCUUAGGAAAUGUUGAAGUUUUCCAGUUUUCUUCCUAUGUGAAGGAACAUAGUGAAGGGGGAAAGGCCCCUUUUUUGCACAUACCUGUGGAGGGUAACGCUGUGUGGGUGCAUUUAGCCCUAAUCUCUGCCGUGGAUCAGGAUCGUUGGUUGUGGAGGAGGAAGAAGAGAGGGAAAGGCUUGAAUACUUACAAAAGAUUUUGAGAGCCUAAAUGAUGAAAGCUAGCAGUUCUACAGUGUUUACUAAGUGCAAGAAACUGUUGUAAGAGUUUUGCAUAUAUUAACUCCUUUGAUUCGAUUCUAAUGACCCUAUGAGGUAGGUGCUAUUAUUAUCAUCUCCAUUUCACAGAGAAGGAAAUUGAGACACAGAGAGAUUAAAUAACUUGACCAAGAUCACACAGCUAUAAUAGUCAAUUGUGGAGCUGGGAUUCAAGCUCUGGUGUCUGCUUUCAGAUUCAUACCCUUACCCAUUACCCUGUACUACCCAUCUGGAAUGUGGAGAACGUGCUGAUAACAUUGCUAAUAAUCAUCUGUCGUUUAUUUCUGACUACUCUCCAAUUUUUUUAAGAGACCUGUAUCUAACCUUUGGUGAUAACUAAACUAUAGGAGAAAACUUGAGUUCUGAUAGUAAGAAACAUUUACAAAAUGGUCUGAAAGUUGAUUUGAAGUCGAAAACCCUUAUAUGUGUUUGUAAAUUCUAGAGAAGAAGUGGCAGCCAGGCAGAUGAGCUCUCUGUUCUGUGCAGAGCUGAUGGUACUCCCUGCCCUGGGGAGCCGGCACUGGCAGCGAUUACAUCACUAAGUCACCCUCCAUACUCAGCUGCUUGCUAAGAAUUAAAUUGCUGGCACCAGAUCUGGUGAGCCUCAUGUUACCAUGGCUUGUUUGUGGAGAGCACAUUAGUGUGAUAUGUUCAGUCUUCAGAAACAGUUAAACAUCAGCUUUAUUACCAAAAAGAUAGUGUAUGCUGGUAUUACUCCUGGUUAUUCGGUUCAGCUCCUCAAGUGAACAGUCCCACACCUAUUUAGCCCAUUGAGUCAAGCUGACCUCCUUUCCCGGUUACGGGUUUGUGGACAGGAGUGACAGGCGGGUUCACUUGCAAGGGAGCCAGAGAGCCGCUCGUGCCUCUGCUGCCCUCUAGAGGCGUGUCAGGCCAAGGCCGCUCAUCUCUGAGCCUUGCCGGCGGAUUGCACCACCAGUCCACCUUUUGUCUCCCUUUUGAAUCUCCACUGAACACCAUUUGUCAAAAGGGUUGAGGCAAAACCACUCUGAGCUUCCAAAACAAUAAUAAGACUUAAUUAGAAUUCCAAGCUAAGCCAUUGAGAGUUGCUGUUUAUAUUGGGGAAGAUGUAACACUUCAGUCCUGUGUUUUUCAGCCCCUACAUCUCAACCAUCAAAGGGAAAUGAGUCAAGGUUGUUUUAAAACUAUAAAUAGAGCUAACACUUACAAAGCAAUUGCCACAUGCCAGGUACUAUUCUAAGCGCCUCGCAUAUGAUGACCUAUUUAAUGAGGUGGGUGGUAUGAGCAUCUCUAUCUUAUAAAUAGGGGAACUGAGGCAAGGGACUGUAAGUAUUUCUCACAGUUCAUGGGUGGUGGAACUGGCUUUGAAGCCCGGUAGUUCUGGCUCCAUGAACUUGGCUUAUAAUCACUUUACUGUACGGCCUCUUUUAUAGCUAUCGAGGCAUGCAUUGCAAGUCCAAUUUUUAGGUAAAGGUUUUGUUAAAAAUCUUUAACCUUAAUCUUGUAAUGAGGAAACAAUUGGCCCAGACCCUUUAAAAAUGUCAAUGACGUAAUAAAUAAAGAAGGAGAAGGAGGAGGAGGAAGGGGAGAAGUAUUUUAGAGCUAUGACAACUAAAUAUAAUUCAUUGUCCAUGGUUAGACCCUGGAUAUAAAGAGACAAAACUACAAACAAUAUUAUUGGGAAAUUAGGAAAAUAUGAAUAUGGGCUAUAUUUUGGAUAAUCAUAUUAAUGUUGCAUUUCUUGAGUAUGACCUCUUAUUGCUGUUAUAUAGCAGUAUGUCCUUGUUCUUAAGUGAUACUUGAACUAUUUAGGGGUAAAAUAUCAUGAUAUCAGCAAAUUACUAUCAGACAAUUCAGGAAAAAAAUAUACCUGAGAAAGAAAGAGAAAGCAAAUGUGGCAAAAUGUAAAAUAAUUAGGAAACUAGGUAAAGGGUAUAUGGUGUUCAUUAUGCUAUUUUUAAAACUUUUUUCUAGGUUUGACAUUUUUAGCAUAAAAAGUAGAGGCAAAAUAAUUACUUAUUUCAGAAUAAGAGGUAGCCAUGGCUACACCCAAGGUAUCUGCCUGGACACCACAAGUGGUACAAAUAAGCAAAGUGUGUUAGUUGGGAAUCCACAGGCAAGCUUUGAAAUCUGUAGACAUAUGUUAUAUGAAAGUGUAUGAGAUAUUACAUCUUAUUUAUUCAUGUUUUUCCAUUAGUACUAGGAAUUACAUGCAUCAUUAUGUAUUUUCAAAAAAGAUCAAGUUUCCAUCCAAUAGAAAAUAAAUAGUGCAAAUUACAAAGUCUUGUAUGAAACUAAAUAAGGUCUAAUUGUAGUCUUGGGAUUAUUCUGUUUUUAUCAUCAACAAAUAAGGCAUUUGUAGGAGAGUGCCUGCCCUAUUUAUUCAGCACUGUGUUCCAGGUACUGAUUUAGUGCUGGGGAUACACCAGUGAGCAAACCAAGAUCUCUGAACUCAUGGUGCUCGCCUUCUGAUGGGACAGAGAGACAAAUAUUAUAGCUCAGUAAACUGCAGAGAAUGUUAGAAAGUGAUUAUUGCCAAAGAAAAGUAGAAAAAUAGAGCAGCAUAGUGGGAAAUUGGGACAGGCAGUUGCAGAGAAGAGGGUUUCAGUUUUAAAGAGGAUCCCCAGGGUAGGUUUCAUCAAAUAUGACCUCAUGGCACCUGGAAGGAAAGUAGAAGAGAACAGAGAAGAACAACCCUAAGGUGACAGCAUGCCCAGAGUAUGGCUAGAGCUGAGUGAGCAAGGGGGAAAGAGGAGAAGGAUAUGAAGUCAGAGAGGAAAUAGAGGAUGAGUUCACAAAGGUCACCAUGAAGGCUUUGGUUUUCAUGCUGAGUAAAAUAGGAAGCCACUGGAUGAUUUUGAGCAGAGGAGUGAGGUGAUCUGACUUAACACUUAAAAGGAUCAAUCUCGUAGGGGGACAAAGGUGGAAGCAACAUCUCCCGUUAGGAGCCUAUUGCAACAAUCCAAGCAAGAGAGGAGAGUGACUCAGCACAGGCUGGUAGAAUUGGUGGUGGAGAGAUGUGAUCAGAUUCUGGAUAUUUUGUUGGUAGAGCCAACAGGAAGGAUUUGCUGAUAAAUUAGAUGUGAUGUUUGAGAGAAAAAGACAAGGGUGACUCAAUAUUUUUGUCCAGAGCAACUGGAAAAAUGAAGCUGUCAUUCCCACAGAUAGGGAAGACUAGGUAGAGCAGAUUUUGAGGGAGAAGAUUAAGAGUUCAGUUUUGGACAUGCUGAGUUACAGCUGUCUAUCAGACAUCCAGAUGGAGAUGUCAUAAAGGUAGUUGGAUAUAGAAGUUUUGAGAUUGUAGAGAGGUCAGGGCUAGAGAUUUAAAACUGGUCACAAUUGGUGUAUUGAUGGUAUUCAUAGCCGUGAGCCUGGAUAGGAUGACCAAGACAGUGAGUGUGGAUAGAGAAGAGAAGAGUAUUAAGGAAUGUGCCCUUGAAUUCUUCUCUUUUAUUGUUUAUUUAUACUUGUUAUGUUUCUCAUUUUGUUUGGAAAAUUAUUACGCUGUGUAAAAUAAAAAGGAGAGUUGACAAUUAUUUAAAUUACUGAAGAUAGUCAAUCAAAUAAUUAAAUUUGCAAAGUAUAUUAAUUUUCCUUAAUUACCUGCUCUGAUUUUCUACAAAUGUCUGUAUUAUUCAGAUACUAUGACAUCUACAUUUUGAGCUGUUAGUGUUAUUUAAUCAAUAACAUACUCAUCUUUAGGACAGUAAUGUUCAAAAAUGCUUUCAAGCAAUUCUCUUGGUGGAGGAAUAGUCUGCAUCUGUGUUUAUUUUCUUAAAUUAAGUGUGCUUUGUUGGAAUAUGAGAAUUCUUUCCUCUUUUUCUGAUGGUUAUGACUUGACAGUCCUCAUUUUGGUGAUAUAGUAAAUGGCUUUUAAAGGUUAUGCCUAAGCAUAGCUACUAUCAGCAAGGACAGAGAGGAAAGGAAAUGCUGUCUCUGGGGGGUUGGGCGGAAUACACACACACACACACACACACACACACACACACACACAUAUAUUUGUUAUUUUCAUAAAAUAAAAAUAACUGUUGAAAAUGAGGAGUUUACUCAACUGCAAAUAAGUCCCUGUGGUGAAUGUAUUAGUAAGUUUUGAAUUUUAGUCUCAGACCCGUUUUAACACUCUUAUAACUGGGUAACUGUUAUAGCUGGUUAACUGAAUAACUGGUUAACUAAAUGUAGGCAAGCUCCAGAACAUAUUUUCCCACCACAAUACACUGUAUAAUGGUAGUAGACAAGCUAGAUAAUACAGACAUAUGAUGAGAUUUAUCAGUAGAGGAAAAACCCAAUUUAAUCUAACUUUGGAAACACAGCGGCUUAUUGAGUCAUAUGUUGAAAAAUACAGAGGUAGACCAGGCUUCUGUAUUUUUGAUCAAGAAUCUAGUUGUUUUAUUUCUUUCUUUGUUUUUUUUUCUUGCUUCUCUGCUCUGCCAUCCAAAUUGUUGUCUUCCACCCAGUGCUGGCUUUCUUCGCAGGUCUAGAGAUGCUGCCAAAAGUAAGCUGGGCUGUUUGCUUUCUUGAAAAUGCCCAAGGAGAAGAAAUGCCUUUCUUCAAUUUAUCAGGGAAGUGAUUUGAGUUUAGUGCCAAUUCUUGUGGCCGGUAUAAUGCCAUGUGUUGGCAGUCUUAUGGCCUCAGUCACCUGAGCCCUGUGACAAGUUCAAAGGGAUUCCCUUGACUUGCAUUUUCGGAGAUGUUGGUGGCGCCAAUGCCCUUUGAAGCACGGGCUGCUGUGCAGCAGGGGUCGGGGGUCAUGGCUGUUGGGGAGAUGAGCAUCAUGGCACUCCAUGUGGCCUAAUCACCCACAUAAUCCAAACUCAAUUAAUAUUACCUUUGGAUUUAUUGUGGAGACUCAGGUUCCUAGCUUUGGUUGAUAUUUCUCUCUCUCGGGGGCUUUCUCCAUUUGGUAGUGAUAGAAAACCAGCUAUAUCUAGUUAUGAAAAAAUCUGAACUAAAACUCAGUAGACAUGGACAAAAGGAAGAUACUUCACUUUUUCCUUAGCUACUAGUCAAUAUAAACAAAUGCCUUUUUACCUCUAUAGAGAAUAUCUUUUUUCCUGUUACUUAGAGCAGAUUUAGAACAACAUAUACAUAAAUAUCAUUUUUAUGUGAACACUUCUCUGUCACUGAUGUUGUUUGAAUGAAUUUUUAUGAUAGAAGCUUAUUUCCAACACUUUCAAAUUCCAUUAUAUGGAUGACUCCAAGAAAGUCAUUAUAUUUACGUCACAGUUUAAUGGGGGCUUUUCAACUAAAGUUGAUGAACUGAACAUAUAUGAUUACCACAGCUUCCUCACUGACACCAUACUAAAAUGAAAGUAAAGGUGUUUUUAAGGGCAUACAUUCUCAAGGACAAAGAGAAUUUGAGGGGAGACAACAACAACAAAAUGUUGGAAGUUGAAAGGCAAUGGACAAAUUCCAGAUCAUGAAAACUGAAAGCUUACAGUGGAAAAAGUAUAGAAGAAAUCCAGUUUGAGCCUCUAAACCACCAAGGGCUCAGGAACUGGCAAUAUGAGGUAACUUUGAAAGUGAAGGUGUAUACAGGGUGGAAACAGAAUUGUUGAUGAGAUUGUUAAAGAAUCAGAUAAGCCCCACAUCGGUAUUCUCCUGCUGCUUUGAAGGUGGGCAAUUGCUCCCCUUCUCAGUCCUCCACUCCAUAAUAUAAAGAGAGGAGAUCUAUUUUCUGGAGAGGUGAACCAGAGGAUCUCUGGAUGGGGGUACACCAGCACAGCUGAGGGUAGAGGAUAUAACUGGGUAAUCAGGUGGAACUCUAUACAAUAAGAGGGGUGAAGUCCAAUUUCAUUGCCUCUCCAGACUCCCAAAAUUCCAGGAGCCAUGCAGAAGAUUGAAAAGUCCCUUCUUUGAGGAAUCCAACUAACCCAAGAGCAUGGACCUAAAAGUAUUGAAAGCCAAAGAUCCAGUAAUGAGAAGACCAAGCAAGGCUGGGCGCGGUGGCUCAUGCCUGUAAUCCCAGCAAUUUGGGAGGCUGAGGUGGGUGGAUCAGCUGAGGUCAGGAGUUCAAGACCAGCCUGGCCAACAUAGUGAAACCUCAUCUUUACUAAAAAUACAAAAAAUUAGCUGGGCAUGGUGGCUGGCACCUGUAAUCCCAGCUACUCAGGAAGCUGAGGCAGGAGAAUCGCUUGAACCCCGGAGGCGGAGGUCGCAGUGAGCUGAGAUCGUGCCAUUGCACUCUGGCCCAGGUGACAGUGUGAGACUCCAUCUCAAAAAAAAAAAAAAAAAAAAAAAGAAAUAAAAGACCAAGCAAAAUCACCUUAGACUGAAGUCCAUUACUCAUGAAGCCUCAGUCCCUCACAACUUCCAAUCAGCUCUUUAGUUCUCCACUUUAAAAUAUGAACAGGGCUGGGUGCAGUGGCUCAUGCCUGUAAUUGCAGCACUUUGGGAGGACAAGGCAGGCAGAUCAUGAGGUCAGGAGAUCGAUAUCAUCCUGGCUAACAUGGUGAAACCUUGUCUCUACUAAAAAUACAAAAAAAUUAGCCGGGUGUGGUGGCAUGCACCUGUAAUUCCUGCUACUUGGGAGGCUGAGGCAGGAGAAUCGCUUGAACCCGGGAGGUGGAGGUUGCAGUGAGCUGAGAUCACACCACUGCACUCCAGCCUGGGCAACAGAGUGAGACUCCAUCUCAAUAAAAUAAAAUAAGAACAGAUUACCAUACAUUUGAGGGAAGCCUCUAUCAGGAAAGACAGAGACCAAACAACAGAAAAUGAAAUUUGGAGAAAAUAGAGACCAGGUGGAGAGAAAACUUUUUUGUGAGGGAAAAACUAGCCUGAGAAAUAUAAGAAAAGUCAUUAUAUCUAUGAAACAAGAACAUGAUGCUGUAAAAAAAGAACAGUCACAGAAUAUUAAAGAACCCUUGAAACUAAAACUAUGAUUGCCCCAGACUGGGCAACAUAGUGAGACCCCAUCUCUACAAAAAAUUAAAAAAAUUAGCUGAGCAUGGUGGCAUGCACCUGUAGACCCAGUUAUUUGGGAGGCUGAGAUAGGAGGAUCGCUUGAGCCUGGGAGGUCAAGGCUGCAGUGAGCUGUGAUUGUGCCACUGGACUCCAGCCUGGGCGACAGAGUGAGACUCCCAUCUCAAAAAAUAUAUAUGAUUGCAGAAAUGAAAACACAAAGGAGGAAGAAGAAAUGGUGGAAAUUUCCAAUAAAGUAGAACAAUUUGACAAGAAUAGAAGAUAGAAAAGAUUAAAAAUUGUAGAGGAUCAGUCCAGGAUUUCCCAUAUUUAAAUAAUAGGAGUUCCUGAAAAAGAAAAUAGACCAACAGAGGAGGUGGAAAUAAUCAGAGAAACAAUUUAUGAAAUUUCUCAUUACUUAUUGAAUGAGCCCACCAAGAGCCUAGCAUAAUGGAUGAAAAUAGAUACACAUUACAAGAUAUCACCAUAGAAUUUUAGCAUACUGGAGAGAAAGAGAAAAUCAUGAAGUUUCCAGAGGGAGCAGGGAGUGAGUACUAAGUCACAUACAUAGAACAUCAGAAUGGCAUUUGAGUUAGCCACAGCAACACUGGAAGUUAGAAGACAAUGGAAUAAUGGCUUAAAAAUUCUGUAUGACUUCCAACUUGGAAUUUCAUAUCCUUCAAAAGUAUUAUUCAGAGUAAAUGUAUUUUCUGACAUGCAAGUUCUCAAAAAAUAUGGCAUCUGUGGCUCCUUUUCCCAGAACCAACUAGGGAAUAUGGUAUAGCAAACAAGGAAACAAGUCAAGGUGAAUAACAUGGUAUCUCGGAUGCAUAUGAUUGGGAGAAAAAAGUAUCCUGGGAUGCUAGUGAAGGAAGAACCUAGGACAUACAGUUGUACAGUAGAACUGCAGAGCUCCCAGUGCAGAUUGGAACUAAUCAGAUAAAAGGGGGAAUAUUCCUGGUCUUGCCUUCUUUCAGAAGAUAUUUGUACUUUUAGAGAAAAAUUUGUGGAUGAGUUUGAUAAGCAUUUAGAAAACAACACAAAUGAAAAAUGUAAAAUAAUAGCUCUAGGAAAACAAAAUGUCUGAAACAAUAAAUAUAAUCAUAGUAUAUUAUAUUCCAUGGCUUCUCGGCCUUUUGGCUAAGAUCAAUUGUGUUAUAUUCCAUAUUUUGUUGACUCUAAGAUGCCAUCAAUUAUAUAUGCACCAAUGUUUCAUGUACUACUAAGAAAGAAAAAUCUCUGCAAUAAAAUAAUGACAGAAUGACAAUGUUAGUUCUGUGUAAUGUAUUAAUCAGUCACAUCUGUCUCUGCUGCUUUGAAAUUUAUUGCACCUAUACUGAGGGUUUUGGUGUAUUUUCCUGUUUUUAGUUGCAUUUGCUAUAAUAGGGAAUCUUUUCAUAUUCUCAUUAACUAACAUAAUAUAGUUUCAUCUAUUUGUGGAUAUCUUCUUGUUUUAGAUUUUUUAAAGUACUCGAUUAUGCUUUGCAAGAAAAUGUUGUGCUGCUGUCAUUCCUCCAAUAUAAAACAUUUAUUACUAGUAAAUUUAUGCUCUAUUAUUCUUUUUGUUGUCUUUCCAUGUACACAAUAACUUUUUGUUUUAAUGCC